AUGGAUUUGAGGACCACAAAAGUUUAGGUAUAUGGUAGGCAGACUACCUAUGGGGAAGGAAAUGGCAACCCACUCCAGUAUUCUUGCCUGGAGAAUCCCAUGGACAGAGGAGCCUGGCGGGCUACAGUCCACAGGGUCACAAAGAGUCGGACACGACUGAGCGACUUCACACACAGGCAGACUAAAGGAAGAAAUCAGCACUUCCUUUCUGGAUGCUGCAUCUUUCGUAAACUCCUUUCCAGGACUAAACUAAGGCCAAUGUAAAAUAUAAACUCUGAUAAAGAUCCCUGGGGGCCGUUAGAUCUUUGUAGUGAAGUUCUCUUUGCAAGAAGUAUAAGAAAUCUGACAAACAAAAGACGUUAGCGUCUCUGAAGCUCGAGCUGGUUAUUCUGAUACAACUGCCUCCUGGCCAGAGGGGUUGAAGGCUUCAGCUUAGCAACAGCUGUGUGCUGUGUGACAGGCCACCGUCCACCACCCGCACCCCCGCUCGCCCCCUCCCUCUGACCACUUGGUUAUAACCAUGGAAAUAAUGACCGUACCUCCUCAGCCAGCAGGGUCUGGAAGGACCGAGGAGGCUCAUUUUUAAACAUUGCACUUUAAAAAUUGGAAACCGUGAGAUGAAGAAAAAUUCAAUUAAGCGGAAAUGAGUUUUGUUUUAUUGCCUGCUGCUGAAGGGCGCUGGGCAUGCUGAAAGCUAAAUAAAAAGCACAUCACUGCCUCUCUCUUUCUUGGAUUGGUCGAUGGGCCCUUUUUGCAGUCGUUGCUCCAACUGCUCUAACACGGUGACUGGAGCCAAAAAGAGAGAGUGCAGCAAAGUCACCCCAUCCCCACUGCUUGGUAGGACCACACGGAAAGCACAGUUUCAGCUGCGAGCUCUGGUGAGGAGUCAGCUGCAGGUCUGGGAGGUGCGCCAAGCAUCCCUUUGCUUCGGGAGGCAGAGCACAGGUGGACAGAGCCGGACCCCCCACGCUCACCCGCCGCCUACCUAGAGACAAGAACCAUUUGUACGUUCCCCGCUUGAGGACUGUGUUUAGCCAAACACGCAGGUUCAGGGCUGCAGCAUCUCAGACGCUGCUCUGAACUUGCAUUCAGACCUCAAAGCCCCAGAUCCCCUAAGCUCUGGAUUGUCGCCCUCACCCUUCGCAGUGUAAAUUUUGUAUAGUUAAAAAGAAAUGGAGUCUCAUUUCCUGGGAAAAAAAGAAAAAGGAAAAAAAAAAAGGACCCACCCAUCCUUAUUUAUGGCCAUGUGACUGGAACACAGAAGCUGGUGCGUUUGUUUGUAUGUGCCUCCUGUGUGUUGGCA
ensembl:lncRNA